AUUGAACGCUGGCGGCAGGCCUAACACAUGCAAGUCGGGCGAGCGGCGGACGGGUGAGUAAGGUAUGGGGAUCUGCCUGAUGGCGGGGGAUAACUACAGGAAACGGUAGCUAAUACCGCAUACCACUAGAUGAACCCAUAUGGGAUUAGCUAGUAGGUAAGGUAACGGCUUACCUAGGCGACGAUCCCUAGCUGGUCUGAGAGGAUGAUCAGCCACAUUGGGACGGAGAUACGGCCCAGACUCCUACGGGAGGCAGCAGUGGGGGAUAUUGCACAAUGGGCGAAAGCCUGAUGCAGCGACGCCGCGUGGGGGAUGAAGGCUUUCGGGUUGUAAACCUCUUUCGCUAUCGAACGGGUAGGUGGAGAAGAAGCGCCGGCUAACUACGUGCCAGCAGCCGCGGUAAUUC
rnacentral:rRNA from 1 species